CCUACGGGUGGCAGCAGUGAGGAAUAUUGGUCAAUGGGCGCGAGCCUGAACCAGCCAAGUAGCGUGAAGGAUGACUGCCCUACGGGUUGUAAACUGCUUGUAUAAAGGAAUAAAGUGAGGCACGUGUGCGUUUUUGUAUGUACUUUAUGAAUAAGGAUCGGCUAACUCCGUGCCAGCAGCCGCGGUAAUACGGAGGAUCCGAGCGUUAUCCGGAUUUAUUGGGUUUAAAGGGAUCGUAGAUGGGUUGUUAAGUCAGUUGUGAAAGUUUGCGGCUCAACCGUAAACUUGCAAUUGAUACUGGCAGUCUUGAGUACAGUUGAGGUCGGCUGAAUUCGUGUUGUAGCGGU
rnacentral:rRNA from 1 species